rnacentral:rRNA from 1 species
UACGUAGGGGGCAAGCGUUGUCCGGAUUUAUUGGGCGUAAAGAGCGUGUAGGCGGCUUGGUAGGUCCGCUGUGAAAACUCGAGGCUCAACCUCGAGACGCCGAUGGAAACCAUCCAGCUAGAGUCCGGAAGAGGAGAGUGGAAUUCCCGGUGUAGCGGUGAAAUGCGCAGAUAUCGGGAAGAACACCCGUGGCUAAGGCGGCUCUCUAGUACGGUACUGACGCUGAGACGCGAAAGCGUGGGGAGCGAACAGG